rnacentral:rRNA from 1 species
UACAGAGGGGGCAAGCGUUGUUCGGAAUUACUGGGCGUAAAGGGCGCGUAGGCGGCCUGCUAAGUCGAACGUGAAAUCCCUGGGCUCAACCCAGGAACUGCGUCCGAUACUGGUUGGCUUGAAUCCGGGAGAGGGAUGCGGAAUUCCAGGUGUAGCGGUGAAAUGCGUAGAUAUCUGGAGGAACACCGGUGGCGAAGGCGGCAUCCUGGACCGGCAUUGACGCUGAGGCGCGAAAGCCAGGGGAGCAAAGCAGG